rnacentral:lncRNA from 1 species
AAAGCCUUCUGAGAGAGCAGGAAAAAGUGCUGAUGCACAAGCUGAAGGUAAGCCUUGCACAGAGCUGGGCAGUGCUCCAUGGACAGUGCUCUGGUUCCUGAGGAAGGGGAGAGCCAAUACUAAUAGAAAUCAAGAUCCCAGGGAGAAUCAUAAAAAGUAUAUAAUUCAUUAAACCUCAAAUCCUUCUGGAUCCUGCUGAGGUCCUUAAAUCCACACAACUCCAACACUUUCUGUAGUGAUAGUCUUUUUUUUUUUUUUUUUAAUAUUUAUUUAUUUUUAAGAGAGAGACAGAACUCCAGUAGGGUGGAGAAGGGAGGGGAGGCAGAGAGAGACACACACACACAGAAUCUGAAGCAGGCUCCAGUCUCUGAGCUGUCAGCCCAGAGUGCAACGUGGGGCUCGAACUCAUGAACCACAAGAUCAUGACCUGAGCCAAAGGUGGAUGCUUAACUGACUGAACCACCCAGGUGCCCCUCCAGUGUUCGUCUUUGAAAUGAACAAAUAACAUCCGCAGAUUGGUAGGUUGCUGUUUGUAGUGACUACAGCAUGUUCUCUUAAUGCUUGGAUUGGGUAGGACCUCAAUACUAUAGUCUUUAGGAUAUUAGUGUAACCAUCAGAUACAUCUAAAAUACAUCUACUGGGUUCUGAAAGUAUCAGAUUAUUCCUGAUAUGAAAUAUAGAAUUCUGAAAGCCCUAUAACUUGCUGUAUUUGUUUCCAGAUCUGUGUGUUACUCUAUAAAGCCCAAGGGAAUAGUCUUCCUUAUUCCAGUAUGCAGCUUGAUAGCCUGUUUCUGCACAGUGUUAGCAAUUCUCAUUUUUUGUAGAUGGUUUUGGCCAUCAUACCUCAAGCAGAACUGAGAAUUAGUUAGAACCAAACCUACAUUCUCUCCCAAAGGGCAUCGUUAGAACUGGAACACAUUUCUGUAAUAGUUCUCAGUCUUGACUCAGCAUCUCCCCACCCUCAGUGAGAUGAUCCUGAGAAAAUUAGGAAGUUACAUGCCAUAGAUACUCUUACCAUCAGUUUCAAAUACAUGGAUAUAUUGAAAAACCCCAUCAAGGAACACUAUGAAGAUAGAGAAGAAGGUAUGAAGAUGGAUAUGCUUAGCUUAGCUGCUAGUGUUAAAAGUGAAACCCAACUUGAUAAUUGGGGACUUUCAAAAGUGAACUCUCCCUUUUAGAAACCCAAGAAAAACUGCUUUUGAAGGAUUUAAAGUUCUGGGAUCACAAAUGAAAUAAGCUCAUAAUUCCAGUUAGGAAAUUAAAGAAUGAGACUUGUUAUGCUGUGACUCAUUUUUGAGGUAUAUGUGUCAUGUUAGUUUCAUUUAACAAAAGUUUAAAAAGUAAUUAUCUAAAUAUAUGAAGGUCUUACCCAGAAAAGAUAAACUUCAUAUUGACAAAAUUAAUUUGGAGAAAUGAGAAGCAAAUUAAAAGAUACAGUGGAAAAAAAGAUCAAAUUUCCAGUAACAUCAAAAGCAAUAUGAUACUACAGAAUAAAAUCAUGAAGUACGUAAAAUUUACAUGAACAAAAUUUUUUAAAUGCUAUGUAAGACACAAUUUAUAAAAAUGGACAGAAAUUAAAAUUUCAAUAUUAUUUAAGUUAAUAUGGACAUUUAAUGUGAUCCAAAAAUAUGUCAAACAUAAUUUUUCAAGAAGUAGAUAAAUUAAUUCUGAAAGUUUUAUGGAAAAGCCACAAACAAAAAUAUCCAGUGCAAUCCUGAAAAAAGACAAAUGAAAGGGAACUAGCUUUAGCCACAUGUUAAAACAUCCCAAGAAUUAGCAUUGUGGUACUAACAUCUGAAUAUUGAAACAAUGACAACAGACUUGGAAGUUUAGAAAUUGGUGCAUGAAGCUUCUGGGUGGUUCAGUUGGUUGACCUUGAUUUCAGCUCAGGUCAUGAUCCCAUGGUUGUGGGAUCAAGCCCCAUCUGGGACUCCAUCCACAUUGAGCAUGGAGCCUGCUUGAGAUUCUCUUUCAUUCUCUUUCUGUCUCUCCCCCUCUACUCGCACUCUCUCUUUCUCUCAAAAAUUUAAAAAAGAAAAGAAAAGAAAUUUGUGCAAAGUCAUGCAGAAAUUCAGCAGAUGAUAAUUUGGGCAUUUUCUUGUGUGAAGGAAUAUGGGAUAUUCAGCCAAUGGUGUUUGAACUAUAGGCAGCCAUCUGAAAAAGAAAAGUUGGGUUCUCCUUUACAUGUAAAUUUCAAGAUGGUCCAGGUAAAUUUCGGAUGGUUCAAAGAUACAAACAUGAAAAAUUACAGCAUAAAAUUAAAUAAUAGGGGGGAGUUAAAAAAAUAAUAUGGGAGUAGGUAGGACCUUCUUUUUUUAAAAAAAAUUUUUAAUGUUUAUUUUUGAGAGAGAGAGGCAGACAGACAGACAGACUGUGGGUGGGGGAGGGGCCAAGAGAGAGGAAGACAGAGUCUGAAGCAGGCUCCAGGCUCUGACCUGUCAGCACAGAGUCCAACGCAGGGCUUGAACUCACGAACGGUGAGAUCAUAACCUGAGAUCCAAAGUUGGAAGCUUAACCGACUGAGCCACCCAGGUGCCCCAGUAGGACCUUUCUAAGUAUGACAUAAUGGAAAUAGAUAAAAAAGAUAUAUUUAAAAUUUUUUUGAAUGCCGUUGACACACAAUGUUACAUUAGUUUCAGGUGUGCAACAUAGUGAUUUGACAAGGUUAUACAUUAUGCUAUGCUCACCACAAGUUUAGCCAGCAUCUGGCACUGUACACUGCUGUUGCAGUAUCGUUGACUGUAUUCCCUAUGCUGUGAUUUUUAUUCCUGUGACUUAUUCAUUCCAUAACUGGAAGCCUUUCCCACUCCCUUCAUCUAUUUUGCCCAUUCCCCACACCUUCCCCUCUGGAAAUCAUCAGUUUGUUCUCUGUCUGGUACUACUUUUUGUUUGUUUAUUCAUUUGUGGUUUUUCUUAGAUUCCACUUAUGAGUGAAAUCAAAUCAAAACUACAAUGAGAUAGGGGUGCCUGGGUGGCUCAGUCACUUAAGCAUCUGACUUCAUGAUCUCACAGCUUGUGAGUUUGAGCCCCAUGUCAGGUUCUAUGCUGACAGCUCAGAGCCUGGAGUCUGCUUCGGAUUCUGUGUCUCCCUCUCUCUCUGCCCCUUUCCCACUCAUGCUCUGUCUUUUUCUCUCAAAAAUAAAUAAACGUUGAAAAAAAAAGUUAAAAAAAAAACUACAGUGAAAUACCACCUCACACCAGAGUGACUAAAAUCAAAAAGACAAGAAAUAACAAGUGUUGGCAAGGUUGUGGAGAAAAAGGAACCCUCAUUCACUGUUGAUGGGAAUGUAAAUUGAUAUAACCACUAUGAAAACAGUAUGGGGGUUCUUCAAAAAAUUAAGAAUAGAAAUACCAUAGGAUCCAGUAAUUACACUACAGAAUAUAUGCCCAAAGAAAACAAAAACACUAAUUCAAAAAGUGCUCCCCCAUGUUUCUUCUAGCAUUAUUUACAAUAGCCAAGAUAUGAAAGCAAUCUAAGUGUCCAUUGAUAAACAGAUAAGAAGAUGUGGUGUAUAUAUGUAUAUGUAUAUAUAUAUGUAUGUAUGUAUAUGUAUAUAUAUAUGUAUGUAUGUAUAUACAUACACACACACACACACACACACACAAUGGAGUAUUACAUGGCCAUAAAAAAGGAUGAGAUUGUGUCAUUUGGGACAACCUGGAUGGAACUAGAGGGUAUUAUGCUGAGUGAAAUAAGUCAUACUGAGGUAGAUAAAAGAAAAUACUGAUGAAUUCAUUUGUCUAAGAAAAAAAAGUUCUUCAUAGAAAAACAUGAGCAAAGUAAAGAUGGCAAAAUGAGGAAUUCAUUUUAAUAUGUAUCAGAAAAAAUAAUAUAAUUUCUUUAAGCCAUAAUGAUCCCUUUAAAGCAGUGGGAAAAAGAACACCCCUCUCCCCCCAAAAUGGGCAAAUAUAUUAGAAGAAAUGAAAUAUAUUCAACUUUGCUAAUAAUAUGAGAUACGCAAAAUAAAGUUUUGAGGCUCCUGUUUCAUCCCAAAGGUUAGCAAAGAAAAACACAUUUGAUGGGAUACUAAGUUGCCAAAGAUUUGGAGAAAUAGGAAAUUUCCCAUAUUUUCGAGAAAGUACGGAUUGGAACAAUUCUAUAUCAAGGUAUUAAAUGCGCAUACCUUUGAUCCAGCAAGUUCAAAUUUAGGAAUUUAUCUUAUAGAUUUAAUUGUACGUGUGCCAAUGUCAUAUGUGCUAGGAUAUAUGUUACAGCACAAGUGUAUGGCACAAAAUCAGAAAACAACUGUCAGGUGCUGGUAAUAGAAAUCAUGGGGCAUUUGUACAAGAGUAUUCUAUGGUCACUACAAUGAAAGGGAAAACUCUGUACUAAUAUGAGAAGAUCUCUAGAUUUAGCAUAAAGUAAAAAAACAUCCGGAAAGUAUGCAUAGUUGCUACUAGUAAAUUUAAAUAUAAUGAAUAUGCACAUGUAUUUUACAUGUCUCAGGAAAAAUAUGAAAUAAACUAGUUACUAUGGUUGUGACUUAGGAUGGACCUGUGUAGUUGAUGUGAGGCUUGAGAGAGUAGCUAACUUUAUGUCAUAUAUUCUUCUCCAUGCCUCUUACAUUUUGUAUGGUAUUACUGUUACAUAUUCAGAAAUAAAGACUUAAAACUGCUAAAAUUAAAACUAAAAUAUAAAUACAUGGAAAGGGAACAUUUAGUAAUAGGGUGGAAGCAGUUAUGCUCCUUGAAACAGCAUACCUCAGUGCAGUAGGAAGAGUCUGCUGAUUACAACAGGGAGCUGAAAACCAUAAGACAUGCAUCCUAAUCUUGCUUUAAUUAUGACCUUUCGAUGUUCCAGUCUCUAAUUUCUUUUUUUACUGAGGUAUAAUUGGCAUAUAACAUUAUAUUAGUUUCGGGUGUACAACAUACUGAUCCAGCAUUUAUAUACACUGGGAAAUGGUCACCCCCAGUCUAGUUGCCGCCCAUCACCAUGCACAGUUGCACUUUAUUUCUUGUGAUGAGAACUUUUUAAGAUUUACUGUCCUGGCAACUUUCAAAUACAUACAACACUAUUAUUAAUGAUAAUCACCAUGCUGUACGUGAAAUCUAAUUUCUUUUGCUAUAUAGUCACUUGGGAAGUUUGCUAGAAUGCCUCUAUGUUCCAGCCCCAUGCUUAUAAAGGGAGUGAAUUAGAAAAAUUGUUCUUCAGUAUCAACUAGAUUUUUCCGGAAUUCCUUUUCCAGCUGCCUUGUGCUGUAGAAUGUGAUAUAGCUAGAAUGAACUACUUGUGAUUCUGUAAGCUACAUGUUAUCUUUGGAUUCUGUGUCUUUGUAUAUUGCAUACAGACAUCCUGCCACCAUACUACAUUCUCAUUAUUUGCUAGCCCCUAUCUGUCCUGACUUCCCAAGGAGGCAGUUGAUCUGUUCCUCCUCUGUGUUCCUUAUCGUCACCCCUGUCAGAGCACUUCUUACUAAUUGUAACAUUGAAAUAGCCUGUUUAUAGGCAUCUCUCCUCCUCUCUUGAUCUCAGGUGCUCAGACUUUUUCAUCAUUGUGAAUCUAACUCCCAGCACAGAGCCCACCACAUAAACCCCAGAUCUUCAAAGGUAGUUCUAUUUUUAGCUUUUUGAGGAACCUCCAAACUGUUCUCCAGUGUGGCUAUACCAGUUGCAUUCCCACCAGCAGUGCAGGAGGGUUCCCCUUUCUUUGCAACCUCACCAAUACCUGUUGUUGCCUUAGUUGUUAAUUUUAGCUAUUCUGACAGGUGUGAGGUGGUAUCUGAUUAUGGUUUUAAUUUGUAUUUCCCUGAUGAUGAGUGAUGUUGAGUAUCUUUUUAUGUGUCUAUUAGCCAUCUGGAUGUCUUCUUAGGAAAAAUGUCAUGUCUUCUGCCCAUUUCUUAACUGGGUUAUUUGGUUUUUGGGUGUUGAGUUAGAUAAGUUGUUUAUAUAUUUUGGAUACUAACCGUUUAUCAGAUAUGUCGUUUGCAAAUAUCUUCUCCCAUUCCAUAGGCUGCAUUUUAGUUUUGUUGAUUGUUUCCUUCACUGUGCAGAAGCUUUGUAUCUUGAAGUCCCAAUAGUUCAUGUUUGCUUUUGUUUCCCUUUCCUUCAGUGAUGUGUCUAGUAAGAAGCUGCUCCAGGGUCAAAGAGGUUGCUGCUUGUGUUCUCCUCUAAGAUUUUGAUGGUUUCCUGUCUCACAUUUAGGUCUUUCAUCAAUUUUGAAUUUAUUUGUGUAUGUGGUGUAGGAAAGUGGUCCACUUUUAUUCUUCUGCAUGUUGCUGUCCAGUUUUCCCAGCCCCGUUUGUUGAAGAGACUCUUUUUUCAUUGGAUAUUCUUUCCUGCUUUAUCAAAGAUUAGUUGACCGUAUAGUUGGGGUUCAUUUCUGGGUUUUCUAUUCUGUUGCACUAAUCAAUGUGUCUGUUUUUAUGCCAGCACCAUAGUAUCUUGAUGACUCAGCUUUGUAAUAUGGCUCUUAAUGGAAAAGCAUUCAAUGCUCAUGGAUUAGAAGAACAAACAUACUUAAAAUGUCUAUACUACCAAAGCAGUCUACACAUUUUAAUGCAAUCCCUAUCAAAAUACCACCAACAUUUUUCACAAAGCUAGAACAAACAAUCCUAAAAUUUGUAUGGAACCACAAAAUACCCCAGAGAGCCAAAGCAGUCGUGAAAAAGAAAAACAAAACUGGAGGUAUCAUGAUUCUGGAUUUCAUUCUCUCUAAAGCCUUUAGGGCACAGUUCUAUUUUCUUAAUGGUUGUGAGUCAAAGUUUAGCCACCUUCUACUUUCCCCAACCAAAGCCAUUGGAGUAAAAGUCCAGUAGCUGAAUCAGUCCCUAGUGACCCAUUGAUAUCACUCAGAGGAAUGCAUCUCAUACUGUCCAUAUGCAUGUUCUGGUAAAGGAAAGAAGCAGGGAUAAGCCCUACUUCCCCAUGAAAUCUCCCUAACACAUGUGGCCAACACAUAUCAUAUACAUUAUCUUCUGUCUGAAUGAGCUGCCUCUUUUCAGGACAUACUUUUUAUCAGGUAACACCUUAAGCCUUGGGAAACAUACUAGCUGCAGUGAAUGAUAACCAUAGAGGGAAAAAGAAUGAGGAACAGUCAACAAAACAGUGUUUAUAAGAAAUGAUAACUGGAAAGGAUUAAGAGUGAAGUAAAGGACAAUAGGGCAGAGUAAAAGGGAUCUUCACCACUUCCAUGUUUAGUCAUAAACUUCCUUUUGUAAUAAAUGUUGUAAAUCCCCAAAGAUAAGCCUCCCAGUAAAAGGUGUCUUACAUAAUAGUGAAUAGGAAAUAAUUGUUGAAUCAUUGAAGUAAUCAAAGAAUGAUUUCAAACACAUCUUGGACAAUCUUGUAAGAAGACAAGUUCAAGCCAUUUGUGUACAUGGUAUUUGGAUGAAGUAAGAUGUAAGUUGCUUGGCCAUUUUUACAUUACCAUCUCUAUUUCCUCAAACUUAGUCUACAGCCUGCCUUAUUUGUUGCUACCUUCUCACCUCUUAAGCUGGAGUUGAAUAGCCCUUGAAAAUGUAUUUAUUAAGACGACUCUUCAGUGUUGGCUGCUGUAUAGAAAUUCAAAGAAGGGGCGCCUGGGUGGCUCAGUCGGUUGGGCGUCCGACUUCGGCUCAGGUCAUGAUCUCACGGUUCGUGAGUUCGAGCCCCGCGUCGGGCUCUGUGCUGACAGCUCAGAGCCUGGAGCCUGUUUCAGAUUCUGUGUCUCCCUCUCUCUGACCCUCCCCCGUUCAUGCUCUGUCUCUCUCUGUCUCAAAAAUAAAUAAAAAAUGUUAAAAAAAAAAAUUAAAAAAAAAAAAGAAAUUCAAAGAAAAAAUAGAGCAGUCCUCUCUCCAGGAAUAUAGGAAAUAGGUUAAGGAAGCUUAGGAAAGCUGAUAUGACCAUGCCAGUGGUCUCCUUUGGCCUACCUAGUAUCUGCAUGGCCAACAGCAGGGGGGAACAUACCAGCACAGGAAAAUUAUAUUACAUUUUGCUUGACCCCAAUACAAAUAUUAUGUGUGAUCAAAACAGAAUUCACUAUGAAGAUAAUGCCCACAAAAUGGCAGACUAGAAGCUCCAAGCCCUUGUUCCCUCAUAGAGACAUUAAAAUAAUAAUAACAAUAAUAAUAAUAAUAAUAAUAAUAUGACUAAAAUAAUCUUAUAGAACCUCUAGAAAACAAAGUAAACACAUCAGUCAAGUGAACCCCAAUCAAGAAAAAGCCACAUUGCCCGCUCCCCUAGAUUAAGGGAUGAUCAUCGACCAAUGUAAUUCAUGACAUUAACAAAAUGGAGGGGAGAAAAAUGAUAGUCUCAAUUCAUAAGGAAGAAACAUCUGACAAAAUUCAACACCUUUUCAUGUUAACAACCCUCGACAAAGUAGAAGUAGAAGGAAACUACCUCCAUGAAACAAAGGCCAUAAAUAAAAAACUCACAGCUAAUUUCACACUCAAUGGUGAAAGGUUGAAAGCUUUUCUGCUAAGAUUGGGAACAAGACAAGGAUGCACUCCUUCACCAAUUCUAUUCAGCAUUGUACUGGAAGUCCUAGCCAGAGCAAUUAGCAAGAAAAAGAAGUAGAAGGCAUCCAAACUAGAAAGGAAGAAGUAAAAUUAUCUCUCUUUGCAGAUGACAUGAUCUUUUUUUCUCCAGAUUUAUUGAAAUCUUUUUGACAUAUAACAUAUGUAAGUUUAAUGUGUGCAAUGUGAUGACUAGAUACAUGUAUACUUUGUAAAAUUAUUUCCACACUAAGAUUAGUUAACACCUCCAUCCUUUUACAUAAUUGUGAUUACUUUUGUGUGUGUGGUGAUAACACUUAAGAUCUAUUCUCUUAACAACUUAGAAGUAUGUAAUACAGUAUUUUAAUUAUAGUCACCAUGUUGUGCAUUAAUUAGAUCCCAUAUCUUACUUAUCUUAUAUCUGAGAAUUUGUACUCUUUGACCAACGUCUCUCCAUUUCCCCUACCCCUUAGUCCCUGGCAACCACCAUUAUACUCUUUUUUUAUGACCUUACCUUUUUAAGAUUCCAUAUGUAAGUGGGAACAUACACUAUUCAUCUUUCUCUGUCUGACUUAUUUCACUUAACAAAAUGCCCUCAGUGUUCAUCCAUGUGGUUGCAAAUGACAGGAUUCCCUUCUUUUUCAUGACUCAGUAAUAUUCCAUUCCAUUGUCUAUACAAUAGUGUACACACACACACACACACACACACACACACACACACAUCGUCUUUGUCUAUUAAUCCACUGAUAAAAAUUAGUUUGUUUCCACAUUUUGGCUACUGUGAAUCAUGCUGCAGUGAACGUGGGGUUCAUAUAUCUCUUCGAGAUAGUGCUUCCAUUUCAUUCAGAAGUAUACCCACAGUGGGAUUGCUGGCUCAUAUGGUAAAUCUAUUAUUAAUUUUUUGAUAACUGUUUUGAUUACUGUAGUUUCAUGAUAAAGUUUUAAAUCAGGAAAUGUGAUACCUCUAGUUUUGUUCUGCUUUCUUAGGAUGACUUUUUUUAUUUGGGAUCUUUUGUGAUUCCAUAUAAAUUUUAGGAUUAUUUUUUCUAUUUCUGUGAAAAAUAUCAUUGGAAUUUUGAUGGGGAUUGUAUUGUUUGCUAAUAUCUGAUUUAGAAUUUUUGCCUCCUUAUAGUUGUCAUAAACUUUUUCUAUACAACUGUGGUCAUAUUUGGUAUUAAGGACUUUCUUGAAUAAUGAGUUAGAUAGCAUACCUUAUUUUUUUGUUUAUUUAUAUUAUUUUUGAGAGAGAGAGAGAGUGCAGGAAGGGCAGACAGAGAGGGAGACAGAGAAUCCCAAGCAGGCUCUGCACUGAGAGCCUAGAGCCCACUGUAGAGCUUGAACUCACAAACCAUGAGAUCAUGACUUGACUUGAAACUAAGAGUCACACACCUAACUGAUUGAGCCACCCAGGGACCCCAACAUGCCUUAUUUUUGAUGCCCAACAAGAAAUUCUUUUUUUUGUUUUUUAUUAAAAAAAUAUUUUUUAUAUAUGUUUAUUCUUGAGACAGAGAUAGAGUGUGAGCAGGGGAGAGGCAGAAAGAGAGCAUGAGCAGGAAAGGGGCAGGGAGAGAAAGGGAGACACAGAAUCUGAAGCAGGCUCCAAGCUCUGAGCUGUCAGCACAGAACCCGUCACGAGGCUUGAACCCAUGAACUAUGAAAUCAGGACCGGAGCUGAAGUUGGACGCUUAACCGACUGAGCCACCCAGGCGACCUCUGACAAGAAUUUAUAUAAAAAAUAUUGUUAAAUGUUUGUUUGUAGAAAUCACAGUUAAAUCAUCUGAGUCUUGAGGUUUAUUGUAAAGAAUUCACACUUGGGCGCCUGGGUGGCGCAGUCAGUUAAGCAUCCGACUUCAGCCAGGUCACGAUCUCGCGGUCCGUGAGUUCGAGCCCCGCGUCGGGCUCUGGGCUGAUGGCUCAGAGCCUGGAGCCUGUUUCCGAUUCUGUGUCUCCCUCUCUCUCUGCCCCUCCCCCGUUCAUGCUCUGUCUCUCUCUGUCCCAAAAAUAAAUAAACGUUGAAAAAAAAAAUUAAAAAAAAAAAUAAAAAAAGAAUUCACACUGAUUUCAAUUUCUUUAAUAGAUACUAGAAGCUUCCGGUUUCCAGCGACAAAAAGCACAGAUUCCCUGAGGAUAUCAUUGUGUGUGAUGGUAAGUCCACUCAUCCUUCCAGCUUUUGUUCCUAAAACCUAUGUUUAAACCUUUUGGGGCACAACACUAUAUAAAGGCUAUAGGUUUAAGGUGUAUGUGUACUGACCAAAGCAGAGACACUUAGAAAUUCACAUAUUAUGUUAGGUCUUCCUUUCUUCUGUAGGGUAGCUUAUAUGGAUAAUUAAUGCCCCCAAAUAUUAAAGUCUGUCCUCUUUAAUUGUGUGAGCUUUCUGAUGCCCCCCAAAAAUGGUAAAAAGGAAAUAUUAAGCCAGAAAAAUAAUGAUUUCCCCUUUAUAAAUCAGACUUGAAGAGGCUUUGAAUGUGUACUCCUUAAUAAUGAGACCGCACAUUUAAGUCACAAAUUUAACAAUUCCUAGACUUAAAAUGGAUCAUUCCUGACAAGUGUUGGAAAUGUGUAAAAGGACUAUACUUGAGGUAGGGUGCACUUAUGUAUGCCUUCAGUAUACCACAGAGGAAACCAUAGGCUACAGAGGGGUCACGCCAGUUGACUUUUGUUAAGAUGUUCUUCUGAUUCAGUUUCUGGAAGAAGGGGGGGGGGGUUUCAUAUUAGUACAUUAGUACAUUUACUUGAACCUUUUAUAGGGGAAUCAGAGCAAUCUGCAUCUGUGAAGGGUCCUCCUGAAAAAAGAAUGAGCAAAGUGUCAGACUCCACCUAUGGUCACCAUAGGAGAUAUGGCAUAAGCUGUCUUGCAUGUGUAAGGGUGGAUGAAAGAAACGGGGCACAUGGCCUCAACCUCUUUGGAGAAUGGGCACAAAGACACACUUAGAGGGGUGCCUGGGUGACUCCAUUGGUUAAACACCGACUUCGGCUCAGGUCAUGAUCUCAUGGUUCGUGGGUUCGAGCCCCAUGUUGGGCUCUGUGCUGACAGCUCGGAGCCUGGAGCCUGCUUCAGAUUCUGUGUCUCCCUCUCUCUGCUCCUUCCCCACUCGUGCUCUGUCUCUCUCUGUCUCUCAAAAAUAAACAAAUAUUAAAAAAUGUUUUUAAAAAAAGACACAGUAGCUUGAAAGACGCUUUUGUGAACUCACAAAUAUGUUAUACUAGCACUUUACUGUCCAAGUCUUAUUAGAGACUCUUUCCUGAAUAUCCAUCCUGCAAAUUAAAAUCCUCUGUGAUUUCAGUUUUCCCUUUAAGACCUAUAUUUUUGGUGCAAUAAGAUUGAACUUAAGUUCAGUUAAGUGAACUGAUGCAUUUUUCAAUCCAACAUGUAGGCAAGUUGCCAUAUUUAUCACAGCCAAACCACUAGGCAAGUUCCAUUGCCUUACAUUUUAUGUAGUUCUGGAUUUCUCUUCACUUAGUCUGUGUUUUUCAAAAUCCAGCAAAUGCAAGGUGAUUUUGGUUUUGGAUUGUUUUUACUCUUACAUCACAGUUGCUAAACUCUCCAGUUCUAAAAUUCCCUAAGCAUGUGAAUUAUGUCCCUAAAAGGCUAUUAUUUUUUAAGACAUUUAAUUUUUUAACUGAUCAGUUGCACUCACCACAUUUCUGAACUGAAAUUGUUUCAUGUCUGUGCUUUUCUGGAAGGGCUGGUACAUUUGCAGCUUUGUGGUUUUUCACCAAACUUUGUGUAACAGGAUGUUAAACGAGACUCUUCCUGUCUGAGAAUUUCCACCAUUCUCUAAAGAUGAGUGCACGAGGUGCCAAAGAACCACAAUUUCUAAAACAACAUGCUACCGCAUUUGAGAGGAGUUAAAUUGAUAAAACAUGAAAAAAGUCAUUUCUAUUAAAUUAAAUCUCAUUAGCUUCCAUCAGUUUAAGAAUAUUUUAACAAUUCUUCUUUUACCAGGAGUAUACUCUUGGUACUUAGACUUGCAAAAUAUAAAAAGUUAUUUCUCCUGGGGUACCUGGGUGGCCCAGUUGGUUAAACAUGUGACUCUUGAUUUGGGCUUGGGUCAUGAUCUCAUGUUGUGUGAGAUCAAGCCCAAUGUUGGGCUCCAUGCUGACAGCACAGAACGUGCUUGGGAUAUCCUCUCUCUCUCUCUCACUCUCUCUCUUUCUCUCUGCUCCUCCCCUGCUCACACAUGCACACUCUCUUUCAAAAUAAAUAAAUAAGCCUUUAAAAAAGUUAUUUUUCUUGUCAGCAAAUUUUCUUCCAAAUAAUGGAAUCUGGAAGAGAGACGCCAAAUUUAUUUUUUUUUUCAUUGCUAAAUAGUAAAAACAUCCUGCUAUACAUCCAAAUAUAACUAGCCUUAGAUUCAUCAUCUCUAGAAUCAUAUCUUUAUAGCUUCAUAAAUAAAAUGAAAAAUAACAGCAACAAAAAAUGAGAGAGACAGAGGAGGAUUCCUUGAUCCAGUUGGUGAGGAAGGACUCUUUUUAUUUGGAUGAUAGUCAUGUGCCCACCCUCUCCUACAUCAAUAUCUGUGUCUCAGAAAGUACAGGACCUCUGUACUUAGUGCAGCUUGGGUCCAUCCCUUAAAAUGGCCAAGUUUAAUUUCAGGACUCUUAAAAUUAUCUGUCUCAGAUAUUGUUGCAUAUCUUUUUACAAUAAUAAAAGAAGUGUCAGCUCUAAUUAUUAUAAAGUUCUGUUAUCAAAAUGAGCUCCUGACAACCUUGCUAGAUGUUAGAUUUUUCUAGCUGCUCUUAAAGCUAGCAGUGGUCAAUGUGAUUAUGUUUGCUCAGGAGAUAGAAACAGAAGUAUGUGUAUGUCACUUGAGAGUCUAGGCCACAGAAUUUUGCUCCUGUACUCCACCAGUUCCAUCUUUUCCCUCCUACUGGUUCAAAUUUGACAGCAGUGGAGCUUUGACCUUGCAGAUAAAUAGGCUUUCUUAGUGGGUACAGAACAACUAGAUGGAAGGAACCUGAAUCCCUGCAGAACCCUGUGGAGGAAUGCUUCCACACAAGCCUGGAGUGGUAGAAGCAGAGGUGCUGUGACAGCAACCUCUAAAGGGAUCUCUAUCUCCAGUGUCCUCACUGUACUCUUUCUCCUCCUGCCAUCAGAAUGUGGAACUCUAUACACCUUUGGAAUAAAUCCCAUUACUCAAGCCCCACCUGAUCUUUCAGCCUCAUCCUUAAUGAGCCUGUGGCUAUGGUGAACUCCAGUGGAUUCCUAGCAUUUGCUCACUACCGUUGUUUAUUUGCUCAUUUCAUUCUUUUGGUAUAAAAUACAUUUCCUCUCAUUUUUCUUUGAUGCAAUCUGAGUUAUCUUUUGAGAUCCAGCAGUAAUGGCACCUCUUCUUGUAGCCAUCUAAAAUCCUGAAUAUAAUUAAUUGUUGCUUUUUUAGACAACCAAGCACUUUAUUUUUAACAUUAUGUUAGCAGUUAUUACUUCUCAUUUAAUGGUAAAAUAUUCAUGUUCAUCAAGAUACAGGUUAGCCAAAGAACUUUGUUUUUAAAUACACAAAAACCAUGGAAAUGCUAGUUUUGAAGGCCUGAGAGGUGUAUAAUAAUGACAAAUAGGCAAAACGUAAAGUAAUAGCUUUUAUCAGCAGCCUUUAGUUGGGCUGAUGACAAAGUCUCAAUUUUGAAAAUUCCUUAACUUUAAAUAAACUAUCCUGGCAAGGUUUGAUGACAUGUCUAAAGAUACUUUAAAAGUGGAGGUUAAAGGGCACCUGCAUGGCACAGUCAGUUAAGCAUCUGAUUCUUUUUUUUUUUUUUUAAUUUUUUUUUUCAACGUUUUAUUUAUUUUUUUUUGGGACAGAGAGAGACAGAGCAUGAACGGGGGAGGGGCAGAGAGAGAGGGAGACACAGAAUCGGAAACAGGCUCCAGGCUCUGAGCCAUCAGCCCAGAGCCCGACGCGGGGCUCGAACUCACGGACCGUGAGAUCGUGACCUAGCUGAAGUCGGACGCUUAACCGACUGCGCCACCCAGGAGCCCAAGCAUCUGAUUCUUGAUUUCAGCUCAGGUCGUGAUCCCAGGAUCAUGGGGUGGAGCUCCGCAUCAGACUCCACACCUGCUUGGAAUUCUCUCUCUCUCUCUCUCUCUCUCUCUCUCUCCCCCUCUCCCUCUCCCUCUCCCACUCCCUCUCCCUCUCCCUCUCUCUCUCCCUCUCCCUCUUUCUCUCUCUCUCCCUCUCUCUCUCUCUCCCCCCUUCCCUCCCUCCCCCUCCCCCUCUUCCCUGCUUGUGCUCUCUCUUUCUCUCUAAAAAAUAAAAAUAGAGUGGAGAUUAAAAAAAUUUACUUGUUCACUAUCUUGAACCAGAUAUCACAAACAAUAAAAGUAGACCAAACUGGCUAUCUAUUAUUUUCAUUUCACAGAUUGGAUCUUUGGGUCACGGGUGAAUAUGGUCUUUCCACUUAGCCUCACUGCAAGACAUCGAAUCUGUUCCUGGAGUAAUAGGGUCAGAGCAAACUGAGGAGUGGCCAAGAAACUAGGAUGGGAGAUGCUGAUAGUACCUAUAGUCACCAUCAAAGAUGUAUCAUGAAACAAAUUAUACUAAAUUCAGGGUGGAGUGAAGGAAAAGUCACAGUCACUUGAACCUGGGCUGAGGGAAAUGAACAGAGGGACACCAUGACCUCUCAGAGAGUGGCAUUAGCAAGCCUUUUGUCUUUUCCACAUUCGCAAAUAUUUAAUGCUAGCAUCUAGAACCCAGGUCACAGAGGAAGCUUCUCCUUCUGAUAUCCAUCAGACAAAUAUAAAAACCUCCUAAAUUUUACAUUCUUUUUCCCCACGCUCAAAAAUACUAACUGCUGAACUAAGGGCAGCUCUUGUUUCCACUGGCUCAGCCCACACUGUGAUUAUGAACAAGAUGACAUAUUUAUUACAGCUAUCUCACUAAACUGAUUCACUGACUCAGAUUUGUGCAGUAACAGUUUCUUCUUAUUUCUUUUUUUUUUUUAUAUAGAUUUCCUCAGUCCCACCAAUAUCAGAGUAUUUGUUUUGUGGUGUUUAGCUUUCUGUCACAGUAGCUAGUGCCUCUUGCUCUUAUUCAAGAAUAUUGUAAAGCUAUAGAUCUUGACUCUAAAACUAUUUAUUCUUUUAUCCCCAGAUUUUUAUCAGCUGAAGAAUUGCAUCAAAUAGAUUGAUGGCCUGAAACUGCUUAAAGUCUGCAUUUCCAGGAACUCGAUGUGGUUUAGGAUAUCAUCAGUUUGGGGCUCCUUCUUCUUAUGUUUCAGGAUGCUAAAUGGGACUCUUCUGUUAGGGGUCCACUAAGUGUCCUGGACUGAGAACACUAGAUGCCAAAUAACUAAUUCCCAAGCAAGGUGCCACAUCAGCUUUUACAGUUAGGUUAAACUCAAGACAGUAGAAGAAAAAUAAUAUGAUUAUAUCAAUUAAUGAAGAAAAAGCAUUUGACAAAAGUCUAACACUCACUUGUGAUGAAACCUUUCACAAAUUAGGAAUAGUGGGGUAUUUCCUCAAUUUGAUAAAGAAUAGCUGAAAAAAACCUACAAGCAUACUUAAUGGUGAAAAGCUAGAUGCUUUCCCGUAAUAUUAGGAACAAGGCAAUGAUGUCUGCUUUCACUUCUAUUGAACAUCAUACUGGAAGUCCUAAUGAAAUAAGACAAGAAAAGAAAAGGAAAGAUAUAUAGAUUUUUUUAUGUAGAAAGUCUCAAAACAUCAUCAACAACAACAAAAAAUUCCUGGCACUAAUAAGUGAUUAUAGCAAGGUUGCAGGAUACAAGGUUUACAUACAAAAAUCAAUUGCUUGCUUAUACAUCAGCAAUGAACACGUGGAAUUUGAAAUUAAUAGCACAAUAUCAUUUAUGUUAGCACUCCUGAGAAAGAAAUACUUAGGUUAUACAUCUGAAAAAAAAUAUGUGUAAGGUCUAAUGAAGAAAAUAACAACUCUGUUGAAAGAAAACAAAGAAAAUCUAAAUAAAUGGGAACACUCAGUAUUGUCAAGAUGUCAGUUCUAUAGAUUCAAUAUAAUCCCAGUAAAAAUGCCAGCAAGUUAUUUUGUGGAUAUUGACAAACUAAUUCUGAAGUUCAUAUGGAGACGCAAAAGACCCAGAAUAUACAGCAAAUACUGACGGAGAAGAAAAUGUCAGAAACUGAAACUACCCAGCUUUAAGACUUACUAUAAAAUUAUAGUAAUCAAGACUGUGUGGCACUGGAAAAAGAAUAGACAAGUAGAUCAAUGGAACAGAAUAGAGGGCCCAGGAAUAGACUCACACAACUAUGGUUAACUGAUCUCUGACAAAGGAGGAAGAGCAAAUCAGUGGAUAAAGCAUAAUCUUUUCAAUAAAUGCUGCUGGAACAACUGCACAUUCAUAUACAAAAAAAAAAGGAAGGAAGGAAAAGAAAAAGAAUCUAGACACAGAUCUUACAAUUUUGACAAAAAUGAAUUCAAGUUGGAUCAUAGAUCUAAAUGUAAAACAUAAAACUCCUAGAAGAUAACAUAGAGGAAAAACCUAGGCGACCUUUGGUUUAUUGAUAACUUUUUAGAUACACUACCAAAAAUCACAAUCAAUGAAAAGAAAAUUGGUAAGUUGUACUUCAUUGAAAUUGAAAACUUUUGAUGUUCAAAAUACAGUAUUCAAAGAGUGAAAUGACAACGUACACAUUAAGAGAAAAUUUACAGAAAACAUGUCUGAUAAAGAACUGAUGUCCAAAAUACACAAACAACUCUUAAAACUCAAGAAUAAGAAAACAACCCAAUUUAAAAAUGGGCAAAAGGUCUGAACAGACACCUCACAAAGAUUCACAGAUGUCAAGCAAGCAUCUGAAAGGAUGCCCCACAUCAUAUGUCUUUAGAGAACCCUACAUUAAAACCACAAUAAGAGGGGCACCUGGGUGGCAUAGUCAGUUAAGCUUCCGACUUUGGCUCAGAUCAUGAUCUUGGCAGUUCGUGAGUUCAAGACCCACUUUGGGCUCUGUGCUGACAGCUCAGAGCCUGGAGACUGCUUCAGAUUCUAUGUCCCCCCAUCUCUCUGCCCCUCCCCUGCUCUCUCUCAAAAAUAAACAAACAUUACAAAGGAAAAAUUCUAUCUUUUGGGAUGCGCACUGGGUGUUGUAUGGAAACCAAUUUGACAAUAAAUUUCAUAUAUUAAAAAAUAAAAUGAAAAAAUGAAAAAAUAGAGAAUAUUUACAUAUGUCAAAAAAAGAAAAAAUUAUAAAAAUAAUUUUACAAAAAUAAAACCACAAAAGAUACCACUAAACACAAACCAAAAUGGCUAAAACCUAGAAUGCUGACAACACCAAACACUAGUAGAAGAUAUGAAGUGAUAAUAACUCCCAUUCAUUGCUGUGGGACUGCGAAAUGGUUUGGCCAUUUUGGAAGACAUUUUUGUAGUUUCUCUCAGUGCUUAACACUUACCAUCCGAUCCAGGGAUUGUGCUCCAGUUAUUUACCAAAAUGAGUUGAAAACUUAAUUUACAAAAAACCUGCACACAGACGUUGAAAGAAGCUUUAUAUAUAAUUGCCAAAACUUAGAAGCAACCAACAUAUGCUUCAGCAGGUGAAUAGAUAAACAAAUUGUGAUAUAUCUGGUCAAUGGAAUGUUAAUUCAAUCCUAAAAAGAAAUGGGCUCUCAAGGCAUGAAAAGAUGUAAGCAAACUUCAGUACAAUUUGCUAAGUGAAAAUUUCAGAAGCCCAUCUGAAAGGCUACAUAUUGUCAUCCAACUAUAUGACAUUCUGAAAAGGUAAAACAGUAAAAAUACCAGUGGUUGCUAGAGGCUCAAAGGGAGGAAGCGUGGUAUGAAUAGCUGGAGGUCUUUUGGGAAAUGAAACUAUUCUGUAUGUACAUACAUAUAAAACAUACAAAAUGUACCACACUAAGUGAACUCUAAUAUGGAAUUUAGUUAAUAAUCUUUCAACACUGAUUCAGCAUUCAUAACAAAUGUACAUGCUAAUGUAAGAUGGAAAUAAUUGGGGAAAACUGGGGGGUGGAGUGG